GCGGCUCCCGCGCCCAGCGCGCUGCGCCCGCCUCGCCAGCUGCGGGGCGCCUUUCAUUCUGUGAGGGGGCGGGCGAGGCGCCGCCUCGGACCGCGGCGCUAACUGGCUGCGGACCGGAGCCCCAGCGCCACGGGCGCCGCUCCCGUUGCUGAUUGGUGGCGGCUGGGGAGGGGGCGUGCGCGGCACGCGCAGCGGGUAGGUAAGGGAAAGUAGGGGAGAGCCGACCCGGGCGGAGGCUCGCCUUGAUUCCAGAGCUGGACCCUGGGACUGGAACAGCUUCUCGCCAACGUGCGCAAGAAAAACCGUGGGAGGAGUCUGGAACAAAACAGGUGGAAGUAGCCAGGGUGUGGACAUUUCUCCAGAGGACACCCUCAGACAGUCAAGGCAAGAAGACAGUUUGGAUGCAGGAUGUCAGAUUCCAGGUGCGACGGAGCUCCUGUCUUCUCGUUGCUGCUUCGUCUGCCAUGGAAGCCUGACAGCGAUGGCCUCCCUUGUCCCGGAGACUCAGCCAGAUGGCCUCUGCAGGGACCUCGCCCACCUGCCAGCAUGUCUCGGUAGCUACACUUGCCCAGGGGUUGCCAGCACCGGACACCUGGGGGGGCGUCCAGCCAGGACCUGGUGGUGCUAACGUCAUUCUCAGAAUAGCCCACCCAGGAGUCCUGUCCUCUGGGCUUCUUCACCUCUCCCUCUGCACCCACCUGCCACCCCCAGGUUCAGCAGAGUGACAGCCCUGGGGAGGAGAGAGUCAAAGCACAGCGAGGAGGUGCCUGAGCUCUGGGGCUCUCCUCUGCUUUCCACUCCCUCACCAGAUGUUCUCUGGGUCAUUCCUGUCCCAUGCUGGUUCCCUCUGCUCUCCUCCAGUCUCGGAGGAAAUCCUGCCUGGCCGUCAAGGCCAGCUCCGGCUGCUGAGGCCAUCGGCUGAUGAAGCAUGCUUUCCGAACUCCUUAAGUUUUUCCGGAUAACGCCUGUCUCAUGCCAGGUGGUCCUGGUAGGGCUGACACGGACCAAUCCAGAAUCCUCUCUCCCUGGUCACAGGGAUGGGCCAAGGCAUGGGCUCAGGCAUGGGUGACGGGACCCAACCAGGGUUAACCAGACCCUUCCCUGAGAUUGAUGAGAGAAUCUUGCAAGAGGAAAGUGUUCUUUUUUUGUCAUGUCACCUGGGAUGUUAGGAGUUUGUGACUGCCAUUGGCCAUCUUGCCUGCACUGAAAGAGCACCGUCAUGCAAUAGAAAAUCAUAUACUGUCAGAGCCCUAAGGACAACAUGGCUUGAGCCUCUGGAUCCAGCUAUUCCUGAAGCAGAAUACCCCUGGAUUUCCCAGUUAGAUGAUCCAAUAAAUCUCUUUUAAUAUGACA
rnacentral:lncRNA from 1 species